rnacentral:lncRNA from 1 species
GUAGGUGGGGAAUGAACCAACGAGACUCCACGCUGGGGAACUUUUAUAUCUGAAGUGUAAGAGCAAAGGGCUCUCUCUCUCUCUCUGUCUCUCUUUCUGUUCCUGUCUCUCUCUGUCUCGGUCUCGGUCUCUGUCUCUCUCUCUUUGCCUCUCUGUCUCUGUCUCUCUGUCUGUCUCUGUCUCUGUCUCUCUUUCCAAGCCCUCUGUUAUACAUAUGGUGUUGGGCACGAAUAUUUCCAGACUUUUCCAUCGUCACCUGGACUCUGGAAGAGGAGUAUCUUACAGACUUCAGGUCUGGCCUACCCAUUUUGUAGAUGGGAAAGCUGAGGCAUUGAAACGUCUAGGCUCUGGGCUGCUUGAGGACACCAAGGUGUCGACUUGUCCCCAGAGCCCAGCAAGGCAUUCAGCACACAAUAUACAUUUCACUAAUAGACAUUGCAUGAGUCAAUGAAUGAAUGAGAAGUUUGGCAGUUAAAAACAAAUGAACAAAACCCUAAAGCUUUUGUUUUUUUUGGGUCCUACUGGGUGGAGGUGACCAAUUCGAGGAAGAAGAACCAAUGAACCGGGUCCUUCGUGAGAAGAUGGGGCCAGGCCCCACUGUGAGGUGCUCGGUGACUCAGUCAGCACUCCCAUCCACAGACCACUGACUCACUUACGUCCUGUGUGGGGAGAAGUACAAAGCCAGGAACAGAAUCUGGACAAGGCCCCAGACGGCCGGGCCCCACUGCCUCCCUGCUCUCCUUUCCCACCUUCCCGCUCACUCUGGGAGAUAUGCCAGACACAUCCCCACCUCAGGCCUUUGUCUCUGCUGUUCCCCCUGCCGGGAACCCUUAGCCACCGGCUCUUUGCUUGACUGAGCCUCAGCUCCAACAGCACCUCCUCAGAGAAACCUUCCCGACCACCGCAGCCGUCGCUGCCGCUGUGAUCCAGUUUAUUUCCUUCUGAGCGCUUACUUCUGCUCUGAACGAGCCAGCCUGUUCCUGCCCUCCUGCUGGGUCCUCUGCUGCCCCACCACAGUGUAAGCUCCAGGAGGCCCUGCUCCAGCUUGAUGUCACCAUGUCCUUGGUGCCUGGAGUUGCGUGCGGCAUGUGAAAAGCACCCAAUGCACAAGUGCUGUAUGAGUGAGAAAAGGGGCUGGAGCUGACUUCCGCACCAAGGCCUCUGGGCCCCCUUACAGGUAAGCAGCAGGAGCAGCCAGAAGAGGGAUCCGGGGCCCCACGGUGAAGGCGAUGGCGUGUGUGCACGUGCAUGUGUGGGUGCGUACUGGGUGGGCACUAGGCGAAUAAUGAGUGACCACAGUUAGUUGAACACCUACCAUGUGCCAGACACAAACUUUCUUUUAAAUCGCUUCAUCCUCAGAAUAAGGCAGAUGCCACCACGACCCCCAGUUUACAGGGAUGCUGGGGAUACAGCAGUGCUUAAGUGAAAGUUCCUGUGCCCGUGGAGCCCAUGGUUAGGGGUGGUGGGGGCACACCAACAUGAGCAGCGGAUGGAAGGUCAGACGCUGGUCUGCACUGAGCUCUGGAUCUGAAGUGGCAAAGGACACAGCGGCUGCAGGGUGGAAAAGUAAGAUCCUGCUGCCAGCUGCCUGCCCUGAAACAUUGAUUGACAUUUCAGCUUGGAUGCCUAUAAUAAAGAUAGCUAAUGAAGCGAUGCGUGGUACAAGUAUGAUGACACUUUAGAGAUGAGGAAAACAAGGCUCAGAGAGAGUAAAUCACCUACUAAACCAAACAUAUGCAAAACCACUUCCUCUUCCAGUCUUGCCCAUUUCAGUAAAUGACACCACAGUUUACUGAAUUCCUCAAGUCAGAAAUCAGGGGAUGAUCCUUCGUUCUUUCCUUUCCUCACUCCCACAUCUUACCCAUCACCAGUUUGUCUAUUCUCACUCCGAAACACAGAACAUCCUCCACUCGGCUAUUUCCCUCGCAUCCCCACUGCUGUUACCCUCCUUGUACCAACAUCUGUCUGCUGAGCCGCUCACCGUCUGCCUUCUGCCUCAGCCUCUGCUGUCCACUCUCUUCCAGCAGUGGUGAGCGAUCUUCUCAAAACAUAAGCCAGAUGUAGUAUCAGUCGCUCACUGAAAACUCUCUAACGGUUUCCCAUUGGCUUUUUUUCCCUCUCUACUUCUGAUAUUUUUCUCUUUUAUUUUUUGAUUUCCAACGUUAUUGUGUUGUGCCUAGAUGUGGUUUUCUUUGUAUUUGAGGGUUCAUAGACCUUCUCAAAUACAUGGCUUGAUGUCUCUCAUUCAUUUGAAAAUAUUCUUAGUCAUUACCUCUUAACUAUUACAGCCGCCCAAUACUUUCUCUUCCUCUUCUUCUGAGGCUCCACUUAUACCUACAUUAGAUCUGUUAUACCACGUCCCAUAUGUCUCUUACGCUCUUUUGUCUCUUCAGUCUGGAUAUUUUCCUCUGACAUAUCUUUCAGUUCCUUACAUCUCUCUUCGGCUGUAUCUAAUCAGCUAAUAAAAUUAUCUUUUUUGUUCUUAAUUUCGGUUACUCUAUUCUUCAGGUCCACAAUUUCCAUUUGAUUCCCCCUUUGUUUCUUUCUUUUUUUCUUUUUUGGGUUUAUGUCCUUCCAGUCUUUUCUUAAAUAGUAGGUUUUAUUUUUUUAGAGCAGGUUUAGGUUCACAGCAAAAUUGAGCCGGAAAUAUAGAGAACUCCCACAGACACCCGGCCCCAACACAUAUAGCCACCCCCACCAUCAACACCCACCAUCACAGCGGUAUGUUUGUUACGGUGGAUGAACCUUCAGUGACACAUCAUCAUCACUGGAAAUCCAUAGUUUACAUAGGCUUCACUGUUGGUGUAUAUUCUACAGGAUUUGACAAAUUUAUAGCGACAUGUAUUCGCCAUGAUACUAUUGUACAGAAUAUUUCACUGUCCUAAAACUCCUCUGUUCUCUGGUCAUUCAUCCCUCCCUCCACCCUGACUCCUGGUAACUACUGAUCUUUUUUUUUUUUGAGGAAGAUUAGCCCUGAGCUAACUGCUGCCAAUCCUCCUCUUUUUGCUGAGGAAGACUGGCCCUGAGCCAACAUCCAUGCCCAUCUUCCUCUACUUUAUACAUGGGACGCCUACCACAGCAUGGCUUUUGCCAACCAGUGCCAUGUCCGCACCCGGGAUCUGAACCAGUGAACCCCAGGCCUCAGAGAAGCAGAACGUGCGAACUUAACCGCUGCACCACCAGGCCGGCCCCACUACUGAUCUUCUUAUUAUCUCCAUAGUUUUGCCUUUUCCAGAAUGUCAUAUAGUUGGAAUUAUAGUAUGUGGCCUUUUCAGACUGGCUUCUUUCACUUAGCAAUAGGCAUUUAAGAUUCCUCAUUGUCUUUUCGUGGCUCGAUAGCUCAUUUCUUUUUAGAGCUGAGUAGUAUUCCAUUCUGCAAGCAUACUAAAGUUUAUUUAUUUCUUCACCUACUGAAGGAUAUCUUGGUUGCUUCUAAGUUUUUGCAAUUAUGAAUAAAGCUCCUAUAAAUGUCCAAGUGCAGGUUUUUGUGUGGAUAUAAAUUUUCAACUCAUUUGGAUGAAUACCAAGGAGCAUGAUUGCUGGAUCACACAGUGACAGUAUAAUUUAGUUUUAUGAUCCCCUUUUCUAGAGUCCCAUUCAUUGCCAAAAUUCUCCAUCUUGUCUUUUAACUCACUGAACAUUUAAUCAUAGUUGUUUUAAAGUCCAUGUCAGAUAAUUCUAUUUUCUGGAUCCCCUUGAAUUUGGUUUUAUUGUUUGUGCGAUUUUUUUUCCCCCCAAUUUUUGGCCAAGUCUUGUUUUUUUGUAAACCUGGACAUUCAAUAUGAAAAAUUACAGAGAUAAUUUGAUCCCCUUACUUUUGCUUCUGGCAGGAAGCUCAGUGGAGACCACUGGAACAGUCCCAGAUUGCCUUAGUCACUGAGGACCUGAGCUGGCUUGCAGUCAGGAUUCAGUCCCUGGGAGGGCUGGUCUAUUUCUUGUUCUUAACAUGCAGCCUUCAGGAGCCCGGCCCAAAGUCUUGGAUGUUUCGUGAACCCCUCCUCCUUGGUAGGUUCCAGACUCCAAGCUCCAUGAGUCUGGUGAGAGCUCUGCUCAGCUUCCUAGCCUCUCAGAUGUCACUUUCAAGUCAGCCAUCACCUUGAGGGGGAAAGUAGCGUCUGUUGCCAGCUUUGCCUCCCUGGGCAUCCAUCCUUUCCUAGACCUCGGCCCCAUGAUUCUUGUAAUUUCUCAUUGCAUUGAUGGUACCUUCAGACAGAUGUGUUUUUCUUUCUAAUUUUAUCCAGUUUUCUAGUGUUCUCAGCAGGAGGAAUGGUCUGAAAUAAUCUACUCCACCAUUGCCGGAAGUCCUCCAAUUAUGUUUAGAGAAAAGUGAAUACUCCUUGUCCUGCCUACCAGCUUCCUGCCAUACCAUUCUCUCCCUUGCUUGCGACACUGUAGUGAAAUGUGGGGCUUUUUCCUAUAACUUGAAUAUGACAAGCUCCUUCAUGCCCCAGCACCUUUGCACCCACUUUCCCCUCUGUCUAGAAUGUUGUUUCCUUUACUUCAUUUUCCAGGCCUCUGUUUAAAUGUCAGUUCUUCUGAGAGGCCUUUCCUGACCUUGCAUUCUAACUCAUUCAGCUGUACACUCACACCCUGUUCCACGUGGCCGCUCUUGUAUACACCCUGCUCUUCCCUUCACACCACUUACCACAAUUUUUAAUUAUAUAUUGAUCUAUUAUCCUUUGUUGGUUGUCUGUCUUCCCACCACAGGGAAGUCCUGCGAGGCCAGGGUUGUCUGAGUUUGGGCUCCCUCACAGGCAGGCCCUGAGAUGAAGAUUAAGCACACGUUGUUUUUUGGGAAUUGCAGGUAAUAGGGAGGGAAGGCAGCCAAGAAGGGGUGCGAUUAUGCAGUGACCACGGUGGGCAGCGGAGCCAUCCUGCGAGAAAGCUGGGGAACAUGGCACAAAACUCAUGCCCAGGCGGGGGCUGGGCAUUUACACACCAGUUCCUGCCAGGCCUGCUGGUGGGGGCUGCUCCUGGGGUCCACAGAGUCCCUGGUGCUGCUGCCCUGCAGCUGGCACAGAGCCCCACAGAGGGGCGGCAGGCUCGGCCUGGAAGGCAUCUGGGCGCAGGGAAGCAGGAGGACCUGAGAGGGUCCACAGGGCCCUGCCAGGACGGCUUCUGUUCGGGGGACCAUUUUAUUCCCAGCCCCAGACACGGGGCCUGGCAGGCAGUAGGAAGUCAAUGAUGACAUGUUGAAUAAGUGCACUUUUAGAACUCCGUGCCAGGUUUAGAACCUAGCUCUCCAAACGGGCUCGCCAUGGUAUUAAAGAUAAUUGUCGGGACCCUGCUGCCGGCCAGGCGCCUUCGAGGGCAGGAAGGGGCUUUCCAUAAGAGCAGAGUAAUCAGAGGAGGGCGCCCCACAGCCUGGAGCCUGGUCUUUUUGAAGAACGAGACUGUGCACCCUGUGGAGAAGAAACGUCUCAGCGACAGUCCUCACGUGCCCCGGGCCAUCCUAGGGGUCAUCCCGCAUAGACUGCACGGGCGAGAAGGCCCCGGUGGAUGGUGCUCUGCCAGCUUGGAGGAGAGCUUCCGCACUCUGCACUGCUCAGAGGCGGCCCCAGCUGAGGCGGGAGCUCCCUGCCACUGCUCCUCCAGGAGAAAACUAGGUCCCGGCCCUCAGAGCGCCUGCUGCCUGGUUGAGAGGACAAGACGUCCCUCUGCGUAGCGCUGGACGAGAAGGACAGGCCCGCACACAACAGCUUGAGGCGAAAACACUCAGACUCGGUUUCUGGUUCCCAGAGUGCACGCUGGGCCGCCAGGCGGAGGAGGCGCUGAGGCAGGAGUCAGUGGUUCUGUUGAUUCAUCUGUAUGAUCUUAGUGCUGUGUUUCAAAGGGCCCGCUCGGUCCAGUGCUGGAUGGGGCCUGCUUGUACAAGGCGCCCUUGUUGGGUUUCAGAGCACCUGACACCUGGAUUGAGAUGCUGACAAGCCCAGGAAGGGGCUGGAAGGAAAGUGGGGCCACCCCUGGGAAACACACCGGGGUCUCCGAUAGCUUUGUCCUGUGUCUCCCACUGUGUUUUGUUUUAUAUGUCGACUUGGCUGGGCUACAGAACCCAGAUGUUUGGUUCAAUACUAGUCCAGAUGCUGCCGUGAAGGUGUUUUUAUGUAAGAUUAACAGUCAAAUCAGUAGACUUUGAGGAAAGCAGAUGAUCCUCCCUAGUGUGGUGGGCCUCAUCGAAUCAGUUGGAGGCCUUAAGAGAAAAUGACUGCGACUCCUGAUGGCCUCUGGACUCCAGCUGUAACAUCGCCUCUUCCCUGGGUCUCCAGCCCGCCAGCCUGCCCUACAGAUCUUGGACUUGCCAGACCCCACAGCUGCAUGAGCCAACUCCUUAAAAU